rnacentral:snRNA from 1 species
GUGCUCACUUCAGCACAUAUACUAAAACUGGAAUGAUAUAGAGGAGAUUAGAAUGGCCCCUUAGCAAGGAUGACAUGCAGAUAGAUUUAUGAUGGGUUU